UACGAAGGGGGCUAGCGUUGUUCGGAAUUACUGGGCGUAAAGCGCACGUAGGCGGGUCGUUAAGUCAGGGGUGAAAUCCCAGAGCUCAACUCUGGAACUGCCUUUGAUACUGGCGACCUAGAGUCCGGAAGAGGUUAGUGGAAUUCCCAGUGUAGAGGUGAAAUUCGUAGAUAUUGGGAAGAACACCAGUGGCGAAGGCGGCUAACUGGUCCGGUACUGACGCUGAGGUGCGAAAGCGUGGGGAGCAAACAGGAUUAGAUACCUAGUAGUCC
rnacentral:rRNA from 1 species